ACCUGGUUGGCUCAGUUGGUUAAGCAUCUGCCUUCAGCUCAGGUCAUAAUCUCAGGGUCGUGGGAUCAAGCCCCUCAUCAGGUU
rnacentral:tRNA from 1 species